UCAAGCAACUAAGCGCAUACGGUGGAUGCCUUGGCAGUCAGAGGCGAUGAAAGACGUGGAAGCCUGCGAUAAGGCUCGGGGAGCUGGCAAACAAGCUGUGAUCCGGGCAUUUCUGAAUGGGGAAACCCACCGACUUUCGGGUCGGUACCUUACACUGAAUCCAUAGGUGUAAGGGGCGAACCGGGGGAACUGAAACAUCUAAGUACCCCGAGGAAAAGAAAUCAACCGAGAUUCCCUAAGUAGCGGCGAGCGAACGGGGACUAGCCCUUAAGCUAGACAACUGGUAGGAGAAGGCUCUGGAAAGUGCCGCCAUAGUGGGUGAUAGCCCCGUAUCCGAAACCUGAGUCUGGUGAAAUCGAGUAGGACGGGACACGUGAUAUCCUGUCUGAACAUGGGGGGACCAUCCUCCAAGGCUAAAUACUCCUGACUGACCGAUAGUGAACCAGUACCGUGAGGGAAAGGCGAAAAGAACCCCUGUGAGGGGAGUGAAAUAGAUCCUGAAACCGUAUGCGUACAAGCAGUCGGAGCGGACUUGUUCCGUGACGGCGUACCUUUUGUAUAAUGGGUCAGCGACUUAUGUUCAGUGGCGAGGUUAACCGUUUAGGGGAGCCGUAGGGAAACCGAGUCUGAAUAGGGCGAUUUAGUCGCUGGGCAUAGACCCGAAACCGGGCGAUCUAUCCAUGAGCAGGUUGAAGGUGCCGUAACAGGCACUGGAGGACCGAACCCACUGUCGUUGAAAAGCCAGGGGAUGACUUGUGGAUCGGAGUGAAAGGCUAAUCAAGCCCGGAGAUAGCUGGUUCUCCCCGAAAGCUAUUUAGGUAGCGCCUCGGACGAAUACCACAGGGGGUAGAGCACUGUUUCGGCUAGGGGGUCAUCCCGACUUACCAACCCGAUGCAAACUCCGAAUACCUGUGAGUACUAUCCGGGAGACACACGGCGGGUGCUAACGUCCGUCGUGAAGAGGGAAACAACCCAGACCGCCAGCUAAGGUCCCCAAGUACCAGUUAAGUGGGAAACGAUGUGGGAAGGCUCAGACAGCUAGGAGGUUGGCUUAGAAGCAGCCAUCCUUUAAAGAAAGCGUAAUAGCUCACUAGUCGAGUCGGCCUGCGCGGAAGAUGUAACGGGGCUCAAACUGGUCACCGAAGCUGCGGCUGCAUACUUUGUAUGCGGGGUAGGGGAGCGUUCUGUAAGCCUGCGAAGGUGUGUUGAGAAGCAUGCUGGAGGUAUCAGAAGUGCGAAUGCUGACAUGAGUAACGACAAUGCGGGUGAAAAACCCGCACGCCGGAAGACCAAGGGUUCCUGCGCAACGCUAAUCGGCGCAGGGUGAGUCGGCCCCUAAGGCGAGACCGAAAGGUGUAGUCGAUGGGAAACGGGUUAAUAUUCCCGUACCUUGGAUAGCUGCGAUGGAGAGACGGAGAAGGCUAGGUGAGCCGGGCGACGGUUGUCCCGGUUUAAGCGAGUAGGGAGUGGACUUAGGCAAAUCCGGGUCCACAAUCCCGAGACGUGACGACGACUGCUCAUAGAGCGGGAAGUCAUUGAUGCCAUGCUUCCAGGAAAAUCUUCUAAGCUUCAGGCUAUUCGAGACCGUACCCCAAACCGACACAGGUGGUCAGGUAGAGAAUACCAAGGCGCUUGAGAGAACUCGGGUAAAGGAACUAGGCAAAAUGGUGCCGUAACUUCGGGAGAAGGCACGCUGGCAGUAAGUGAAGCCCCUGCGGGUGGAGCUGAGACCAGUCGAAGAUACCAGGCCCCUGCGACUGUUUAUUAAAAACACAGCACUGUGCAAACACGAAAGUGGACGUAUACGGUGUGACGCCUGCCCGGUGCCGGAAGGUUAAUUGAUGGGGUUAGUCUUCGGACGAAGCUCUUGAUCGAAGCCCCGGUAAACGGCGGCCGUAACUAUAACGGUCCUAAGGUAGCGAAAUUCCUUGUCGGGUAAGUUCCGACCUGCACGAAUGGUGUAACCAUGGCCACGCUGUC
rnacentral:rRNA from 1 species